rfam:Mycosphaerella eumusae strain CBS 114824 scaffold4, whole genome shotgun sequence.
GCCGGGGUAGCUCAAUCGGUAGAGCGUGUGGCUCUUAGCAUUCUAAUGCGAAACCUCAAGGUCGUGGGUUCGAGCCCCACCUUCGGCU